rnacentral:rRNA from 1 species
UGCGAGUGAAGCGGGAAGAGCUCAAAUUUAAAAUCUGGCGGCUUUUUCGGGCGUUCGAAUUGGAAUCCGGGGAAGCAUUUUUCGGGUUGGACCGGGCACCAGUCUUCUGGAACCGAGCGGCAUAAAAGGGGAGAAUCCCGGCCAUGGACCGGAACGCCCAUGCUGUGUGGUAUGCUUUCCAAGAAUCCCGUUGGUUGGGAAUGGCGCGCAAAACGGGUGGUAAAUUUCAUCCAAAGCUUAAUAUUGGCGAAAGAACGAUUGCGAACCAGUACCGUGGGGGAAAGAAGAAAAGCACUUUGAAAAGAAAGUUAAACAGUACGUGGAAUUGGUGAAAGGGAAACGCUUGGAGUCCAUCCCGUUCCUUGGAACUCAGGCUCCCCCUCCGGUUUGGUGUACUUUCCAUGGGAACGGGUCAACGUCCAUUUUGGCCGGUGGACCAAAGGCGGGGGAACGUAGCGUCCCUUCCGCGAACUGGUAUUACCCCCUGGUGGAUGCACCGGCCGGGAAUGAAGACCGCAGCACGCCCUUUUUUGUGGCCGUGGCCUCGUUUUACGUCCCGUGCUUAGGACGUUGCCAUAAUGGCUUUAAGCGCCCCUUCUUGAACCACGGACCAAGAAUUUUACCAUGCUUGGGAGUGUUCGGGGGGAAAACCCUUGCGGGUAAGGAAGGGGAAAGGUUAGGAGCCCCUCGGGGGGGGGUGCACUGACGCCCGGCCCUGAAGUUCUCUGACGGCGCUGCGGCAGAGCAAGCAUGUUGGGACCCGAAAGAUGGUGAACUAUGCCUGAAUAGGGCGAAGCCAGAGGAAACUCUGGUGGAGGCUCGUAGCGAUUCUGACGUGCAAAUCGAUCGUCAAAUUUGGGUAUAGGGGCGAAA